rfam:TPA: Bos taurus chromosome 12, whole genome shotgun sequence.
UCCCUGAUAGCUCAGUUGGUAAAGAAUCUGCCUGCAAUGCAGGAAACUCCAGUUCGAUCCCUGGAUUGGGAA